GACGAACGCUGGCGGCGUGCUUAACACAUGCAAGUCGAACGGAAAGGCCCUGCUUUUGUGGGGUGCUCGAGUGGCGAACGGGUGAGUAACACGUGAGUAACCUGCCCUUGACUUUGGGAUAACUUCAGGAAACUGGGGCUAAUACCGGAUAGGAGCUCCUGCUGCAUGGUGGGGGUUGGAAAGUUUCGGCGGUUGGGGAUGGACUCGCGGCUUAUCAGCUUGUUUGUGGGGUAGUGGCUUACCAAGGCUUUGACGGGUAGCCGGCCUGAGAGGGUGGACGGCAACAAUAGGACUGAGAUACGGCCCAGACCGCUACUGGAGGCAGCAGUGGGGAAUAUUACACACUGGGCGGAAGCCGGAGGCAGGAACGCCGCGUGCGGGAUGACGGCCUUCGGGUUGUAAACCGCUUUCGCCUGUGACGAAGCGUGAGUGACGGUAAUGGGUAACGAAGCACCGGCUAACUACGUG
rnacentral:rRNA from 1 species